rnacentral:rRNA from 1 species
UACGGAGGGGGCUAGCGUUGUUCGGAAUUACUGGGCGUAAAGCGCACGUAGGUGGCUUUGUAAGUUAGAGGUGAAAGCCCGGGGCUCAACUCCGGAAUUGCCUUUAAAACUGCAUCGCUAGAGUUGUGGAGAGGUAAGUGGAAUUCCGAGUGUAGAGGUGAAAUUCGUAGAUAUUCGGAAGAACACCAGUGGCGAAGGCGACUUACUGGACACAUACUGACGCUGAGGUGCGAAAGCGUGGGGAGCAAACAGG